rnacentral:misc_RNA from 1 species
UGGCUCUCGCAUCGAUGAAGAACGCAGCGAAAUGCGAUAAGUAAUGUGAAUUGCAGAUUUACAGUGAAUCAUCGAAUCUUUGAACGCACCUUGCGCUCCUUGGUAUUCCGAGGAGCAUGCCUGUUUGAGUGUCAUUAAAUUAUCAACCCCCAUGAGCGAUUUGUUUCGAUCACGGUGGGCUUGGAUUUGGAGUGUGCUGGUCCCACUAUUGCCGGAUCGGCUCCUCUUUAAAUGAAUCAGCGGAGUGUCAAUUGACCUUUUCCCGGUGAUCGGUGUGAUAAUCUUGUUACGCCGUUUUCUGGAGGUCUACUUGUCCGCUUAUAAUCGUCCCUCUACCCGGACAAAACUUGUUGACCAAUUUGACCUCAAAUCAGGUAGGACUACCCGCUGA